AUUUGUCCAAGAAAAGAUUUUAAAGGCGUGUUGAGGGAGUGGUAGGCAAACAAUGGCAGAGAGUCCUGGAUCAGGUGAGGGGCAUGGGGCCAAGGGGAGGGAUGGGCAUUGUGCAGAGAGAAGGUAAGGCCAAGCCAAGCUUGAAUGUAUGCAGAGGCUCAGACAGCGCUCACGGGGUCUGGGGAGCCCAUCCCUAAUGGCAUCUGUGUUCUCUAUGACAGGUUGGCAUCUGUUGAGUCAAAGGAGCCAGGGCAUGGAGACUGAGAACGUUGAUGAAGAUUUAGAAGCUCUUGUUGCUGAGCAGUCUUGAGGGCCCGGUUGAAAUUGGGCAUCAUGCACCUGCAGUGGAGCCAGACAGGAUGGUGAUCUCUUCUAAAAGUCUGAGCAGGGGAAGAUCCAAGAAAAGGAGGCAGACAGAGGAAGCACAAGGGGGCCAAGUCAUGCAGCAAGCAGAAGGAGAUGAGAUCAGUGGCGAAACACGAUCGCAAGCAUUUUUUUAUUUGUAGUGCCCUUUGAGCUCUUACACAGAAGAUGACACAUAAGUACAAAUUGGAAUAACGUGAGCAAUAUAUUUUGUUGGAAUCAAUGGUACUGACGGCUUCCGGAAUAUUAUACUGGAAAACUCACCAAGACUCAAACCCAGACAGGGAAGAAAGUGAAUAUGGAAGAAUAAGGAUGUG